UGGGAACGCGAAGAACCUUACCUAGACUUGACAUCUCCUGAAUUACCCUUAAUCGGGGAAGCCCUUCGGGGCAGGAAGACAGGUGGUGCAUGGUUGUCGUCAGCUCGUGUCGUGAGAUGUUGGGUUAAGUCCCGCAACGAGCGCGACCCUUAUUGUUAGUUGCUACCAUUUAGUUGAGCACUCUAGCGAGACUGCCUGGGUUAACCGGGAGGAAGGUGGGGAUGACGUCAAAUCAUCAUGCCCCGUUAUGUCUAGGGCUACACACGUGCUACAAUGGCUGGUACAGAGAGAUGCUAAACCGUGAGGUGGGGUCCAAACCUUUAAAACCAGUCUCAGUUCGGAUUGUAGGCUGAAACUCGCCUACAUGAAGCUGGAGUUGCUAGUAAUCGCGGAUCAGCAUGCCGCGGUGAAUACGUUCCCGGG
rnacentral:rRNA from 1 species